rnacentral:rRNA from 1 species
ACGAACGCUGGCGGCGUGCUUAACACAUGCCAGUCGAACGGUGAAGCGCUUGCCUUUUUGGUGGGUGUGGAUGAGUGGCGAACGGGUGAGUAACACGUGAGUAACCUGCCCUCUUCUUCUGGAUAACCUCAUGAAAGUGGGGCUAAUACGGGGUAUUCCGGGUCUGUCGCAUGGCGGGUUUGGGAAAGAUUGCGCCUUUGGGUGUUUUCGGUGGGGGAUGGGCUCGCGGCGUAUCAGCUUGUUGGUGGGGUGAUGGCCUACCAAGGCGGUGACGGGUAGCCGGCCUGAGGGGGUGGACGGCCACACUGGGACUGAGACACGGCCCAGACUCCUGCGGGAGGCAGCAGUGGGGGAUAUUGCACAAUGGGCGCAAGCCUGAUGCAGCGACGCCGCGUGAGGGAUGGGGGCCUUCGGGUUGUGAACCUCUUUCGCCAGUGAAGCAGGCCUGCUCCUGUGUGGGUGGGUUGACGGUAGCUGGAUAAGAAGCGCCGGCUAACUACGUG